rfam:Stegodyphus mimosarum contig99225, whole genome shotgun sequence.
GCCUUCGUGGUGUAGUGGUCAGCACGCUCGACGCGUAUUCGAGAGGUCCGUGGUUCGAGUCCCGACGAAGGCA